UCCCAUGCGGGGCAGGCGACGAGCGUAU
rnacentral:sRNA from 1 species